rnacentral:misc_RNA from 2 species
UAAAGCAACUCAACCGCGCUGGUGGUUGGUCAUGGAGGAAGAGCAAAUCUCGUGAUGUGUCUCCCCUCCCAAAAUCAAUGGCGGAAUGUCACUGGCACUCGGCGUAGUAGUAUUAUUCGCCGAUCAUCCAUUGCUGUUCCUGCCGCUCAAACCCCCAAUAUUCUCUU